rfam:Ovis aries breed Texel chromosome 4, whole genome shotgun sequence.
UAGCUCAGUUGGUAAAGAAUCUGCCUGCAAUGCAGGAAACCCUGGUUCGAUUCCUGG